rnacentral:rRNA from 1 species
UACGGAGGGUGCGAGCGUUGUCCGGAAUCACUGGGCGUAAAGGGCGCGUAGGCGGCCUGAUAAGUAGGGGGUGGAAUCCUGCGGCUUAACCGCAGGGCUGCCUUCUAAACUGUCAGGCUCGAGCACAGUAGAGGCAGGUGGAAUUCCCGGUGUAGCGGUGGAAUGCGUAGAGAUCGGGAAGAACAUCAGUGGCGAAGGCGGCCUGCUGGGCUGUUGCUGACGCUGAGGCGCGACAGCGUGGGGAGCAAACAGG